UUGGCUUGCUGAUUUGGAGAAUGUCUGGUUAAUGGAUAUUUAUGUACUGUUGAAGGGGACACUCCUCUGGUACACUAUUGCAUGCCUGGAAUUCCAUGGUAUUCUUUGUGAUGUCACUAGUGUUAUGGAAACAGAAGCUGCCCUUGUGGUAUUUUGUUAAUGCUUAUUGUUUUAGACACAGACAUGUUUUCUAGGAUUAUCGAGUUAUUUACAGGAAAAACGGAGUGCAUGGAGAGAUGAGAGAGAGAAAAAAUGAUAUUAGGACUUCUUUCUUGUUAUAAAUGUGCAAAAUAAAUAAUCUGGUGUAAAGCAGAGAGAGUAAGCCCUGAGCCAGUACUGGGGAACUUCCUGGAGAAGCUGUGCUUGGGUCAGACCUUCUAGGAGCAGGACUUAUGGUCUGAAACAUCUGGACUUUUAAAGAAGGGACCAAGCGUCAAGAAUAUCUGAUGAAUAUUUGGCAGACAGCCAGAAAUUGACAAGCAUGCAGUUAGUUUGCUAUGAGUUCCUUAAUUUCACUCUGAAUGAGAAAGAUAUCCAAUAGGAGCCACACAGAUAAAUCUUCUACUCUCAGGGUAGAGUAUAGGACUUCAUCUACAGACGAUUAUUGUACAAGUCAUUGACAUGUUGUGACAAGGAGAGAGAGACGGAUACUCCCCUGGAAAUGUAUCAAGAUUUCAGACUCAUUUUUCUUGAACAUACAUGAUUAGGGCUUGGUUGUCCUAAGAACUAUGGACUACAGAACUUACCUGCAUAUGUCUAGCAAUCAUCGUUGGAGGCAGGAGAGUAGCUAAUAGGUCCAACUUGAAAAGAGCUUUCUUACUCUCUCAGUGCUUCAAAGUGUCUGUAGAUUUCCCCUUUCCUCAUGCUUUGUUGGGGGACUCAGAAUGGUCUCUCCUGUGACUGGGCCAUUAAUAUGCAUGUUCCCUUGUGUUUAUCUACAGGGUCUGCUGGGAAGGCAUCAUGCCAACCUUCCACCAUCAAUGAGCAUGUUCAGCAGAUUAAGAAGUAGAAGAAACUGACUAUUGAGCUCAAGAAGAAAACCUAAAAGCAGAAGCUGUGUUUGAAUAACAGACGAUAUAUGGCAAGCAGUGUGUGAGCUCUCAUCCUGGAUUUUAAUAGAGAGAGAUGCAUUUUCUGUCCUCAGAGGAACACAGAAAGUUGGUCAGCUACAGAAGCACAGUAACUUAAACUUAGAUAAGUAAACUUUUGUUUUUUUAUUUAUUUUAAAGAUUUAUUUUAUUUGAUUUUUAUGAGUAUACUGUACCUGUCAGACUCACCAGACUCACCUGUCAUUAUGAAUGGUUGGAUGCCACGAUGAGUACACUUGGAAUUGAACUCAUGACAUUUGGAAAGACAGGCAGUGUUCUUAAAUGCUGAAUAAACUUCCUAGUCUAAACUACUACUACUACUACUACUACUACUACUACUACUACUACUACUACUACUACUACUUAUUAUUAUUAUUAUUAUUAUUAUUAUUAUUAUUAUUAUUAUUAUUACUAUUAUUGUUAAGCAACCCUAGAUAGAUCAAAACUUACCCUCCUCCAAUGCUCUUCCCCCUUCCCUGUUUGGAGAAGAUCUUAGAAUAAAGAAAGUCACCAUAAUAUCUGCCCCUCGACCUCAGCAUUAAAAAAUGAAAAAUUUUACUUUUUCUUAGCUAUGGAGAUUUUCUUGUUGACUGGGCUCAUAGCUUCAGACCUGAAGUCAGGGAUAUUAUGGACAAUGGAGAUCCAUUUGAAAGAAGCUGCUUAACUUGGAGGAACAGGGAAACAGUGAGCAAGAGUAAGAUGUUUGUCCACCACCUGAUCCCUUGCUGAGAACAAAGUCUCCUCUUCACAGCCUGAAAACUGGGCAGGCUGGAAGCCAAUAGCAAUGUACAUGAAGAAAGUACAUCAGUAGUGAGAAAGAAAAUUGCUGCACUUCUUCAAUAUUCAUUUCCUUAGAUUUUUAGGUGCUGAGGACAAAGAGAAGACACACAGAAGGACUGAGACAGAGGGUCUGAACUGGAAGGACAGAGACAGAUGGACAGAGCAGGAGAGGGGAUGACCUGAAAAGACCAGUUUGAGAUAAGGAGAACAAAGGUAAGUAGAACUAAGACAAAAGGAUCUGGGCUGAGAAGUAAUGUAGAGAGGAAUAACUUAUGUAACAUAAGAGAGCAAUCUAGAGAAUGCAGGUGAAAAGAGGACAAAAGAAGAAGCUGGAAAGAAUAGAAGGUGCAGGCAGGUUUCUCCUUAUCUUGGGACAGAAAAGGACAUUUCUUAAUAGCAAUGCAAAUUAGUCUUGUUAAAAGGAACAGGCCUUUUCUUUUACAAACUUGGGUUUAAAUCACUUAGCAUUAAAAGGGUAGAAGCGAUUUCUUUCUCUCUGUAAUAAAGAUUGGAGUUCAUCUUUCUGUACUGGUCCUUGGUCUUUUGCACCAUAUGCAUAUGUAAGUAUUGAUGUCUGUGUAAGUAUGCAAUUAUGAGAAUGUAUGCAUGUGUGUGUGUGAGUGUGUGUGUGUGUGUGUGUUUGUGUAAGAAUGUAAUUGUGACUCUGCUCCCAGACCCCGUGAGAGAGAGACCCAACCGCCUGGUCAGGUGGGCACUCCUGAGGCUGCAGAGCUGAAGAGACCACCAACACUGCCCACCCCUGCCCACAUCCCUGGCCCAAGAGGAAAUUGUAUAAGGCCUCUGGGCUCCCGUGAGGGAGGGCCCAGGAGCGGCAGGACCCCUGCCUGAGACACCGCCAGAACCUGAAGGAAACAGACUGGAUAAACAGUUCUCUUCACCCGAAACCUGUGGGAGGGAGAGCUAAACGUUCAGAUAGGCAGACAAGCCUGGGAAACCAGAAUAGACUGCUCUCUGCACAUACAUCUCGGAAGCAAGAGGUAAAAACAAAAGGCCAUCUGGAACCCUGAUGCACUGAAGCUCCCGGAAAGGGUGGCGUAGAUCUUCCUGGUUGCUGCCGUCACAGAGAGCCCGUGGGCAGCACCCUGUGAGUGAACUUGAGCCUCAGGACCACAGGUAAGACAAACUUUUCUGCUGCAAGUGACCUGCCUGGUGAACUCAAGACACAGGCCCACAUGAACAGCUGUAGACAUGUACAGAGGAAAAACUACAUGCCCAAAAGCAGAACACUCUGUCACCAUAACUGACUGAAAGAGAGGAAAACAGGUCUACAGCACUCCUGACACACAGGCUUAUAGGACAGUCUAGCCACUGUCAGAAAUAGCAGAACAAAGUAACACUAGAGAUAAUCUGAUGCCGAGAGGCAAGCACAAGAACCCAAGCAACAGAAACAAAGACUACAUGGCAUGAUCGGAGUCCAAUUCUCCCACCAAAAGAAAAACAUGGAAAAUCCAAACACACCAGAAAAGCAAGAUCUAGUUUCAAAAUCAUAUUUGAUCAUGAUGCUGGAAGACUUCAAGAAAGACGUAAAGAACUCCCUUAGAGAAACACAGGAAAACAUUAAUAAACAAGUAGAAGCCUACAGAAAGGAAUCACAAAAAUCCCUGAAAGAAUUCCAGGAAAACAUAAAUAAACAAGUAGAUGCCCAUAGAGAGGAUACAAAAAUUCCUGAAAGAGUUCCAGGAAAGCACAAUCAAACAGUUGAAGGAAUUAAAAAUGGAAAUAGAAGCAAUCAAGGAAGAACACAUGGAAAAAAACCCUGGAUAUAGAAAACAAAAAGAAGAGACAAGGAGCUGUAGAUACAACCUUCACCAACAGAAUACAAGAGAUGGAAGAGAGAAUCUCAGGAGCAGAAGAUUCCAUAUAAAUCAUUGACUCAACUGUCAAAGAUAAGGUAAAGCAGAAAAAGCUACUGGUCCAAAACAUACAGGAAAUCCAGGACUCAAUGAGAAGACCAAACCUAAGGAUAAUAGGUAUAGAAGAGAGUGAAGACUCCCAGCUCAAAGGACCAGUAAAUAUCUUCAAAAAAUCAUAGAAGAAAACUUCCCUAACCUAAAAAAAGAGAUAUGCAUAGACAUACAAAAAGCCUACAGAACUCCAAAUAGAUUGGACCAGAAAAGAAACACCUCCUGUCACAUAAUUGUCAAAACACCAAACGCACAAAAUAAAGAAAUAAUAUUAAAAGCAGUAAGGGAAAAAAGUCAAGUAACAUAUAAAGGCAGACCUAUCAGAAUCACACCAGACUUCUUGCCAGAAACUAUGAAGGCCAGAAGAUCCUGGACUGAUGUCAUACAGACCCUAAGAGAACACAAAUGCCAGCCCAGGUUACUGUAUACUGCAAAACUCUCAAUUAUCAUAGAUGGAGAAACCAAGAUAUUCCAUGACAAAACCAAAUUUACACAAUAUCUUUCUACAAAUCCAGCAGUACAAAGGAUAUUAAAUGGUAAAGCCCAACAUAAGGGGGCAAGCUAUACGCUAGAAGAAGCAAGAAACUAAUCGUCUUGGCAACAAAACAAAGAGAAUGAAAGCACACAAACAUAACCUCACAUCCAAAAAUGAAUAUAAAGGGAAGCAAUAAUCACUAUUCCUUAAUAUCUCUCAACAUCAAUGGCCUCAACUCCCCAAUAAAAAGAAAUAGAUUAACAAACUGGAUACGCAACGAGGACCCUGCAUUCUGCUGCCUACAGGAAACACACCUCAGAGACAAAGACAGACAUUACCUCAGAGUGAAAGGCUGGAAAACAACUUUCCAAGAAAAUGGUCAGAAGAAGCAAGCUGGAGUAGCCAUUCUAAUAUCAAAUAUAAUCAAUUUUCAACUAAAAGUCAUGAAAUAAGAUAAGGAAGGACAUCAUAUUCAUCAACAGGAAU